rnacentral:lncRNA from 1 species
CUUCACAGAGGAGCCUGACACAGAAAAAUGUAUACAUUGUUUGCCUUAAAGUGAACAAUAGGGAAUAGCUAUCGUAUCUUCAAAGCAGCUUUCCAAGAUCAAAUCCGUCGCAUCCGGAAUGCGUUUCUUUGACCUUGGAACCUCCAGGAGUGGCCAGGCUCCCCCACAGAUCACACGCAGCGUUGCCUAGAAGCCGGUAGCUCUCCCGUAGGACGCUGGGAAGCAGCCAGCUGUUCAUGUGGGAGUGUCGGCGUGCGUUCCUUUGUCAACGUCCUGCAAGAAAGAAAAGGCAAGAACGUCAGCGAUGGCUCCACUGACUGAUUAAGGCAAAGGAAGUCGCCACUAUGCCCUGGAUCUGUUCCUGAAGGAUUACAGCAUGAAGAAAAAUAAUCCCCAGAAUAACAUACGUGUGACAGACCAGGAUUCAGCCCACAGCCUGGAGCCAAGACACCAUCCGACCCAGAUGAACCUGCGUGGAUCACCUGAGCCACUAGUGACCCAGAGAUCCUGAGAGUGAAAAACAUGCAUGGUCCUAUACACCACUGAGUUUUGGGAUGACUUGUUACUUAGCACUAUUAUGACAAUUGCUGACUAAUAUACCAGGCUCCUGGAAGAUUUGUUGUGAGGUUCUCAUAAAAUGAUGAAUGUGAAAUUGCAUUGUAAGCUGCUUUUAAAAAAGGUACUUAGCUGGAGUGAAAGCUCUACAAAGGCAGAAAUUGUUUUGCUACUGUAACUAGAUGAGUUCCUGGAAUAAAAUAGUAGCUC